rnacentral:rRNA from 1 species
AAGGUCUAACUAAUUUUGUGCCAGCAGUUGCGGUUAAACAAUUAGUCCUUAUAAUAAUUUUAGGGUUAAUAUUUAGGCUUAUUUUAUAUAAAUAAAAUUAAUAGUUAUUGAGUGGAAUCUUAACUAUUAUCAUUAUUAUCUUGCUGAUUACAUAUGAAGUCAUGAUGUUAAACUAGGAUUAGAUACCCUACUAUAAUAUGAUUUAAUUUAUACCUUUAAGAUUAAUAGGGUUAUACAAUUAGUCCUUAUAAUAAUUUUAGGGUUAAUAUUUAGGCUUAUUUUAUAUAAAUAAAAUUAAUAGUUAUUGAGUGGAAUCUUAACUAUUAUCAUUAUUAUCUUGCUGAUUACAUAUGAAGUCAUGAUGUUAAACUAGGAUUAGAUACCCUACUAUAAUAUGAUUUAAUUUAUACCUUUAAGAUUAAUAGCUGAUCUUUAAAUUAAAAGGAUUUGGCGGUAAUUUAAUCUCAUCAGAGGAACCUGCCCAGUAAUCGAUAAACCACGAGGGGUCUACCUUUAUUUUGCUUGUAUACCUCUAUUUUUGAAUAUACUGUAAGGUUAAUUUCUUUAAUCAAUAUUUUGAUUUAUUUUAGGUCAAGGUGCAGCUGUAUAAGGGUUGAGGUGGGUUACAAUUUUUUUAUUAUUGGAUUUAAUUUUUUUAUUAUUAAUGAAAGGGGAUUUGAAUGUAAUUUGUUUUUUCUUAAACUUGUGACUAUAGCUCUAAUUUAUGUACAUAUCGCCCGUCGCUCUCAUUAACAAGGUGAGAUAAGUCGUAACAAAGUAGAUUUACCGGAAGGUGAAUCUGGGAUUA